rnacentral:rRNA from 1 species
AGAGUUUGAUCCUGGCUCAGAACGAACGUUGGCGGCGUGGAUUAGGCAUGCAAGUCGUACGGGGUUCGGGGGUAACUCCGAACUUAGUGGCGAACGGGUGAGUAACGCGUGGGAAACCUACCCUCGAGAUUGGGAUAACACUCCCAACGGGGUGCUAAUACCGGAUAAGACCACGGGGUCGCAUGGCUCCGAGGUCAAAGGUGGCCUCUACUUGUAAGCUACCGCUUGAGGAUGGUCCCGCGUCUGAUUAGCUAGUUGGUGGGGUAAAAGCCCACCAAGGCUUCGAUCAGUAGCUGGUCUGAGAGGAUGGUCAGCCACACUGGGACUGAGAUACGGCCCAGACUCCUACGGGAGGCAGCAGUCGAGAGGCUUCGGCAAUGGGGGAAACCCUGACCGAGCGACGCCGCGUGGGCGAUGAAGGCCGUUAGGUUGUAAAGCCCUGUCGAGCGGGAAGAAACGCAGGUGGGCGAACAGUCCAUCUGUCUGACGGUACCGCUAAAGGAAGCUCCGGCCAACUCCGUGCCAGCAGCCGCGGUAAUACGGGGGGAGCGAACGUUGUUCGGAAUUACUGGGCGUAAAGGGCGUGCAGGCGGCCUUGUAAGAGGGAUGUGAAAUGCCCUGGCUCAACCAGGGAACUGCAUCCCAGACUGCAAGGCUUGAGUAUAGGAGAGGAUGGGGGAAUUCCCGGUGUAGCGGUGAAAUGCAUUGAUAUCGGGAGGAACACCAGUGGCGAAGGCGCCCAUCUGGCCUAAUACUGACGCUCAGGCGCGAAAGCUAGGGGAGCAAACAGGAUUAGAUACCCUGGUAGUCCUAGCCGUAAACGGUGGGCACUAGGUGUAGGAGGCAUCGACCCCUCCUGUGCCGCAGCUAACGCAUUAAGUGCCCCGCCUGGGGAGUACGACCGCAAGGUUGAAACUCAAAGGAAUUGACGG